AUGGCGACCUGCAGCCAUCUGCUCCUGGCGCUCGUCGUCGUUGCCGCCGCCGUUGAUUCCACCGCGGCGUUCGAUCAGGAUCACACGCCGUUCAAGCCGAUCCCGGACCUCUCCGUCCCGCGCAUCCAGGAGCUCGGCCGAUGGGCCGUGCAGCAGCACAAUGAUCAGACGGGCGACCGCCUGACGUUCACCAGAGUGAACGGCGGGCAGUUCCAGAUUGUGGCGCCGGCGCUCAACUACCUGCUUGACAUUGACGCGACCAACGUCCACGGCACGGCCAGCACGCACACCGCCCUCAUCUUCGUGCAGUACUGGACCAACACGCAACGGCUCGACUCUUUCAACUGA
rnacentral:rRNA from 1 species